GGGGUAUCUGGGGUCCCAAAGUGGGGGGAAUAUGGGCAUUGUGGGUCCCACAUACGGGUCUAUGGGAGCUGCGGUGGUGCUAUAUGGGCACACAGGGGUCUGUGGGGUCCCAAAUAUUUGUAUUUGGGGUCCCCUGGGGAGAGGAGGGGGGUGUCUAUAUGGGCACACGGGGUCUAUGGGGUCUCCGAGGGGGAUGUAGAGACACACGGGCUGUCAGCGGGGUCCCAAAGGGGCUCUAAGGGCACAUGGGAUAUAUGGGGUCCUACAGAGGGGGAAUAUGGGGGCGUGGGGGCAUGUGGAGGGGGGCGCUGGGGGAUCUGCCCCCCCCCCGACAACCCCCCACCCCAGAGCCUGGUGAACGGCAGCCGCUUAGAUGAGUUCCAGCCCCGGCAUGGCCGUCACCGCCAUGGGAGCCCCCCGCCCCGCUGGGACCCCCCAGCCCUGCCCCAGCCCUCCGCAGGGGACGUGCCCCCGUGCUUGUCCUGGGGGGGCGGUUUGGGGUGCUUUGGGGGGGGGUCCCCAGCACCCUGCAGAGGACCCAGGUGUCCUGGGGAACCGCCCCCAUCCUCACUCUGCCCCGUCUCUCCGCAGGGCACGUACCCCCUUCCCACCAUGGACAGGUCCCAGGUUAUCCCGUACCUGUAGAGAAACCCGCUGGUGAUGGGGCAGCCGCCCGCCCUCCACCCGGUGGGGGGGGGGACCCCGGCUGGGGGGGGGGACACAGGAGGGCUGCUGGGGUCCGUGGGGGCUGGGGGGGGGUCCCGGCCCCGCCUCCCUCCCUGUCCCCUGCAGCCUGCGGCCUUCGUCGCCACCAUCCCGGCCACUACUUCGAGGUGGGCGCACGGGGCCGCUUCUCCCACCGCCGGGACCCCCCCGCGACACGCUGCAGGCGGGGGGCGGCGGCGACCCCUCCUGCGCCCGCCUCUGCGCCCCACAGCCGGCCCCACAGCUGGCCCCACAGCCCGGCCAGCGCUGACCCCCGGCCCCCCGCCCCCGGGACGGGCUGGGGCUGGUCCCAGUCCCAUCACCUCCUCUCGAUCCCCCUCCCGCAGCGCUGAGCCCCAUGACCCCGACCCCAGCCCUGUCCGUGUCCCCCCC